GCCUGGCAUGGUGGUGCAUGCCUGUAGUCCCAGCUACUCGGGAGGCUGAGGCAGAAGAAUCGCUUGAACCCAGGAGGCGGAGGUUGCAGUGAGCUGAGAUCGUGCCACUGCAGUCUAGCCUGGGCAACAGAGUGAGAUUCUGUCUCGA
ensembl:misc_RNA Metazoa_SRP Metazoan signal recognition particle RNA